CACCUUCAACUCCCAAAGCUGAUAUUCUUACUUUAAACUACUCCC
rnacentral:tRNA from 1 species